rnacentral:piRNA from 1 species
UGAGGAUUAACUGGUGCUAAUCCAUGU